rnacentral:pre_miRNA from 1 species
UAUAUACUCCCUCCGUCUGAAAAUACUUCUCAUUAAAAUGGAUAAAUAGAGAUGUAUAUAGAACUAAAAUACAUCUAGAUACAUCCCCUUUUCAUUUUGAUGACAAGUAUUUUCGGACGGAGGGAGUAAUAG